GCGGCUUCCAAAUUAUAGCCUAUACCGGUUGGCGUGUGUUUGGCGAUGUAGUGAGUUGAAAUCUAGGCCUAAUUUGUGAAUUAUUUUCAAAUUAUGAUUCAUAUUCUGCCAUAUCCUUACUGUACUGUAUGUAGCCUGGAUGACUUUGUGGGUGAAUGGUGGCCUUUCGCUAGUAUUUACUAGUAGUGUAGUACGACGACACGCGCCUAACUGACCAGGGUCCGGGAGUUGUUUUUCUGGUCUAAUACAGUACUAAAAAAUGGUAGGCCUAGGCUUAAUUACCCUACCUACCUAGGCUAGUCACUGACUGUACAAACAGAAAUGUAUAUGACAAUGCUGCUGGUCGACGAAAACAUUGUGAAGAAGUCAAUGGUCCUGGAUGAUGGCGUUCUGGUGGAUCAGUCCAGCUCUGUAACAGGUAGUUGUGGACCCGGUUCAAAAUAAUAUUGAGAUACAGUAGCAGACUUUUAAGUGCUGUUUGGGUGCCAGGACAAAUGUUGUUUCCAGUUCCGUGUUCUUCUUCACACGAAGUUAUCCCGAAGCAACGCAUCCGGAUAGUUCAUGGUAAAGGUUACUACCUGGUUCCUAGGAAACCAUUAAUUUCUGUCAAACAGCUCUUUCUUGAUUAUUUGCCUCUGCAAGAAGCUGACUAUGCACAAUUACAGGUUUUUGACCAUACUUCCUCCAAAGUUGAGCUACACACUGAGGUUGGAAAUCUGAUAUACUUUGAGAUCUCAAAUGGUGGUAAAGAUCGAAGCUUGCCCCUGUGGUAAAUUCAUAUGCCAUCAAAAACCAUCAAGUUUACUUUCCUGUAAUUUCAUCGAGUGAUAGAUUCAAUUCAAUUUCGAUUUAUUGGUCAAACACGCAGAUAAAAACAUGUUCAAAACUUUAGCUGAGUGUACAUGCUGAACAUAGAUAAGAUGAUGUCUGUAGAAUCUCUCUUAGUAUAAUAUUAUAUUAGGGUAUUAUUUAACGUAAAUGUUUAGAAUUGUUGUGUGCUGUAGAUUUGUGCUGUUGAUUUUCUUCGUUAAUACAAAAUAAUUACCAAAUUACGAAAUACAAUUUUUAUAUGAAGAUUUUGAUAUAAAUGGUGCAACUUGGUUCUAAUUGUUCAUAAUGCUAUUAUAAUUAUAUGAAAUGUGCAAAUUGAAAGUGCUGUUAAGUGCUAACUAGUAUAAAACAAAUUUUCACAUGAACAUGAUGUAGCAAUUGGGAUGAGAUUUUCUCUAGCACUGUAUAUUGCAUAAAAUCAUGAAUGCGAAUCAUGUUGUUAUUUUGUCUAUCAGGUAUUAGAAAAUUGCUAUAUUGUCAGGAACAUUGUGAGACAACAGUAAUUUCAUUUUAGGUACAAUAAUCUGUAAUAGGCUUUAAAUUACUUUAUGACUGUAUGUACUGGUUGACCUGUUGCUCUAGCUUUGGGUGCUCAUGAUUUGCAGUAUGAGACUGAAUUAAAUCCAUCCAGGUUGGAUUUUCCUGCUUAACUGAUUGCCACAAGGAAUCUGUCCUCAUUGAUUUUGUAUGUUCUGUACGAACUAUACAAAAUUAAUUGUUAAGUUAUAGCACUGCAGUGUAACCACUAGAUGCUGCAGAAUAUUUAUUAAUUUAAGUUUUUUGGUGUUUUUUUGGUACUCCGCCGCUGCUUAUUUCUUCAUUAAUAUAUAAAAUUAAAGCAUUUAACCAUACCAAUUCUACACUGUUUACAUUCAGAAAUAAAAUAUUUAUUUUAUUUUCUCCUCUGUCUGGAUGUUUUUGGCAAAAUCAUCUGCUAAAUG
rnacentral:misc_RNA from 1 species